CCCAGCCCCCGAUUGUUACUUGGAGGGGGAGGGUUGGGGGGGGCGCGGUGGGGGGAAGACACGCAGAUCCAUUUGGCAGAAGAUGCCUGCAGCUCCACAUUAGCCAGCAAAUCUGUCCCACCAGUGUCCCAAAGGGCCACUCGUGUGGACGGUGUGUCCAUGUCAGGUGUUUGUAACCCAAGGAGGACUUGUAAAUGGGCCUUUUUCUUUUUGACAGAAUACAAUGAGUGGUGUGCCACAAUGUUUUACUAUCUAUAUAAAUGACUUGGAUGAAGGCACCAAAGGUAUGGCUGCUAAAUCUGCUGAUGACACAAAGCCUUCGAAGUUCUCUGUACACCAGCACUGAUAACCUUUCAGUUGGUCCUGGCACGUUCCUCCAUUUUGGCAUGGGUUUGAUGCGCAUUGAUUGCCAUCUGCAGGUGACUGGACAUUCAGGACCAGGACAAGCCAGCAGCUGGGACCAGAGGCCACAAAAUCUCAUCUGAUGAGGUUAAGUAAAUCUAAUGAUCCGGCCUCCACCAACCACGGGAGCAGAGAAUUCCAGGGAUUCACCACCCUCGGAGAGAAGAAAGUUCUACAUACUAAAUAUUUUCAUAUAAACUUUAUAUAUAACUAAUGGAAAUCAAAAAAACUGCAGAUGCUGCAAAUCUGGAAU